GAAAGGGCGCACGGUGGAUGCCUUGACACUAGGAGUCGAUGAAGGACGGGACUAACGCCGAUAUGCUUCGGGGAGCUGUAAGUAAGCUUUGAUCCGAAGAUUUCCGAAUGGGGAAACCCACCAUACGUAAUGGUAUGGUAUCCUUAUCUGAAUACAUAGGGUAAGGAAGACAGACCCAGGGAACUGAAACAUCUAAGUACCUGGAGGAAGAGAAAGCAAAUGCGAUUUCCUGAGUAGCGGCGAGCGAAACGGAACAUAGCCCAAACCAAGAGGCUUGCCUCUUGGGGUUGUAGGACAUUCUAUACGGAGUUACAAAGGAACGAGGUAGACGAAGCGACCUGGAAAGGUCCGUCGUAGAGGGUAACAACCCCGUAGUCGAAACUUCGUUCUCUCUUGAAUGUAUCCUGAGUACGGCGGAACACGUGAAAUUCCGUCGGAAUCUGGGAGGACCAUCUCCCAAGGCUAAAUACUCCCUAGUGAUCGAUAGUGAACCAGUACCGUGAGGGAAAGGUGAAAAGCACCCCGGAAGGGGAGUGAAAGAGAUCCUGAAACCGUGUGCCUACAAAUAGUCAGAGCCCGUUAACGGGUGAUGGCGUGCCUUUUGUAGAAUGAACCGGCGAGUUACGAUCCCGUGCGAGGUUAAGCUGAAGAGGCGGAGCCGCAGCGAAAGCGAGUCUGAAUAGGGCGUUUAGUACGUGGUCGUAGACCCGAAACCAGGUGAUCUACCCAUGUCCAGGGUGAAGUUCAGGUAACACUGAAUGGAGGCCCGAACCCACGCACGUUGAAAAGUGCGGGGAUGAGGUGUGGGUAGCGGAGAAAUUCCAAUCGAACCUGGAGAUAGCUGGUUCUCCCCGAAAUAGCUUUAGGGCUAGCCUUAAGUGUAAGAGUCUUGGAGGUAGAGCACUGAUUGGACUAGGGGUCCUCAUCGGAUUACCGAAUUCAGUCAAACUCCGAAUGCCAAUGACUUAUCCUUAGGAGUCAGACUGCGAGUGAUAAGAUCCGUAGUCAAAAGGGAAACAGCCCAGACCGCCAGCUAAGGUCCCAAAGUGUGUAUUAAGUGGAAAAGGAUGUGGAGUUGCUUAGACAACUAGGAUGUUGGCUUAGAAGCAGCCACCAUUUAAAGAGUGCGUAAUAGCUCACUAGUCGAGUGACUCUGCGCCGAAAAUGUACCGGGGCUAAAUACACCACCGAAGCUGCGGAUUGAUACCGAAUGGUAUCAGUGGUAGGGGAGCGUUCUAAGGACAGUGAAGUCAGACCGGAAGGACUGGUGGAGUGCUUAGAAGUGAGAAUGCCGGUAUGAGUAGCGAAAGACGGGUGAGAAUCCCGUCCACCGAAUGCCUAAGGUUUCCUGAGGAAGGCUCGUCCGCUCAGGGUUAGUCAGGACCUAAGCCGAGGCCGACAGGCGUAGGCGAUGGACAACAGGUUGAUAUUCCUGUACCACCUCUUUAUCGUUUGAGCAAUGGAGGGACGCAGAAGGAUAGAAGAAGCGUGCGAUUGGUUGUGCACGUCCAAGCAGUUAGGCUGAUAAGUAGGCAAAUCCGCUUAUCGUGAAGGCUGAGCUGUGAUGGGGAAGCUCCUUAUGGAGCGAAGUCUUUGAUUCCCCGCUGCCAAGAAAAGCUUCUAGCGAGAUAAAAGGUGCCUGUACCGCAAACCGACACAGGUAGGCGAGGAGAGAAUCCUAAGGUGUGCGAGAGAACUCUGGUUAAGGAACUCGGCAAAAUGACCCCGUAACUUCGGGAGAAGGGGUGCUUUCUUAACGGAAAGCCGCAGUGAAUAGGCCCAAGCGACUGUUUAGCAAAAACACAGCUCUCUGCGAAGCCGUAAGGCGAAGUAUAGGGGGUGACACCUGCCCGGUGCUGGAAGGUUAAGGAGAGGGGUUAGCGUAAGCGAAGCUCUGAACUGAAGCCCCAGUAAACGGCGGCCGUAACUAUAACGGUCCUAAGGUAGCGAAAUUCCUUGUCGGGUAAGUUCCGACCCGCACGAAAGGUGUAACGAUUUGGGCACUGUCUCAACCAGAGACUCGGUGAAAUUAUAGUACCUGUGAAGAUGCAGGUUACCCGCGACAGGACGGAAAGACCCCGUGGAGCUUUACUGUAGCCUGAUAUUGAAUUUUGGUACAGUUUGUACAGGAUAGGCGGGAGCCAUUGAAACCGGAGCGCUAGCUUCGGUGGAGGCGCUGGUGGGAUACCGCCCUGACUGUAUUGAAAUUCUAACCUACGGGUCUUAUCGACCCGGGAGACAGUGUCAGGUGGGCAGUUUGACUGGGGCGGUCGCCUCCUAAAGUGUAACGGAGGCGCCCAAAGGUUCCCUCAGAAUGGUUGGAAAUCAUUCGUAGAGUGCAAAGGCAUAAGGGAGCUUGACUGCGAGACCUACAAGUCGAGCAGGGACGAAAGUCGGGCUUAGUGAUCCGGUGGUUCCGCAUGGAAGGGCCAUCGCUCAACGGAUAAAAGCUACCCCGGGGAUAACAGGCUUAUCUCCCCCAAGAGUCCACAUCGACGGGGAGGUUUGGCACCUCGAUGUCGGCUCAUCGCAUCCUGGGGCUGUAGUCGGUCCCAAGGGUUGGGCUGUUCGCCCAUUAAAGCGGUACGCGAGCUGGGUUCAGAACGUCGUGAGACAGUUCGGUCCCUAUCCGUCGUGGGCGUAGGAAAUUUGAGAGGAGCUGUCCUUAGUACGAGAGGACCGGGAUGGACGCACCGCUGGUGUACCAGUUGUUCUGCCAAGGGCAUAGCUGGGUAGCUAUGUGCGGAAGGGAUAAGUGCUGAAAGCAUCUAAGCAUGAAGCCCCCCUCAAGAUGAGAUUUCCCAUAGCGUAAGCUAGUAAGAUCCCUGAAAGAUGAUCAGGUUGAUAGGUUCGAGGUGGAAGCAUGGUGACAUGUGGAGCUGACGAAUACUAAUAGAUCGAGGACUUAACC
rnacentral:rRNA from 1 species